rnacentral:rRNA from 1 species
GAUGAACGCUGGCGGCGUGCCUAAUACAUGCAAGUCGAGCGAACAGACGAGGAGCUUGCUCCUCUGACGUUAGCGGCGGACGGGUGAGUAACACGUGGAUAACCUACCUAUAAGACUGGGAUAACUUCGGGAAACCGGAGCUAAUACCGUAUAACAUGUUGAACCGCAUGGUUCAACAGUGAAAGACGGUCUUGCUGUCACUUAUAGAUGGAUCCGCGCCGCAUUAGCUAGUUGGUAAGGUAACGGCUUACCAAGGCAACGAUGCGUAGCCGACCUGAGAGGGUUAUCGGCCACACUGGAACUGAGACACGGUCCAGACUCCUACGGGAGGCAGCAGUAGGGAAUCUUCCGCAAUGGGCGAAAGCCUGACGGAGCAACGCCGCGUGAGUGAAGAAGGUCUUCGGAUCGUAAAACUCUGUUAUUAGGGAAGAACAAAUGUGUAAGUAACUAUGCACGUCUUGACGGUACCUAAUCAGAAAGCCACGGCUAACUACGUG